UACGAAGGGGACUAGCGUUGUUCGGAUUUACUGGGCGUAAAGCGCGCGUAGGCGGAUCGCUAAGUCAGGGGUGAAAUCCCAGGGCUCAACCCUGGAACUGCCUUUGAUACUGACGAUCUGGAGAUCGGGAGAGGUUGGUGGAAUUCCGAGUGUAGAGGUGAAAUUCGUAGAUAUUCGGAGGAACACCAGAAGCGAAGGCGGCCAACUGGCCCGAUACUGACGCUGAGGCGCGAAGGCUAGGGGAGCAAACAGG
rnacentral:rRNA from 1 species